AUUGAACGCUGGCGGCAUGCCUUACACAUGCAAGUCGAACGGCAGCACGGGGGCGAACCCUCGGUGGCGAGUGGCGAACGGGUGAGUAAUGCAUCGGAACGUGUCCUCUUGUGGGGAUAACCAGUCGAAAGAUUGGCUAAUACCGCAUGAGAUCGAGAGAUGAAAGCGGGGGACCCGAGGGUAACUUCGGGCCUCGCGCGAGAGGAGCGGCCGAUGCCGGAUUAGCUAGUUGGUGGGGUAAGAGCCUACCAAGGCGACGAUCCGUAGCUGGUCUGAGAGGACGACCAGCCACACUGGGACUGAGACACGGCCCAGACUCCUACGGGAGGCAGCAGGUGGGGUAAUUUUGGACAAUGGGCGCAAGCCUGAUCCAGCCAUGCCGCGUGUG
rnacentral:rRNA from 1 species